UACGUAGGGGGCGCGCGUUAAUCGGAAUUACUGGGCGUAAAGCGUGCGCAGGCGGUUGGGUAAGACAGAUGUGAAAUUCCCGGGCUUAACCUGGGAACUGCACUUGUGACUGCCAGGCUAGAGUGCGGCAGAGGGGAGUGGAAUUCCGCGUGUAGCAGUGAAAUGCGUAGAUAUGCGGAGGAACACCGAUGGCGAAGGCAACUUCCUGGGACUGCACUGACGCUCAUGCACGAAAGCGUGGGGAGCAAACAGG
rnacentral:rRNA from 1 species